AAUCUUCCGCAAUGGACGAAAGUCUGACGGAGCAACGCCGCGUGAGCGAAGAAGGUCUUCGUAUCGUAAAGCUCGGUUGCUAGGGAAGAACAAGUACCGGAGUAACUGUCGGUACCUUGAGGGUACCUAACCAGAAAGCCACGGCUAACUAAUUGCCCGCCGCCGCGGUAAUACGUAGGUGGCAAGCGUUGUCCGGAAUCAUUGGUCGUAAAGCGCGCGCAGGCGGUCCUUUAAGUCUGAUGUGAAAUCUUGCGGCUCAACCGUAAGCGGUCAUUGGAAACUGGGGGACUUGAGUGCAGGAGAGGAAAGCGGAAUUCCAUGUGUAGCGGUGAAAUGCGUAGAGAUAUGGAGGAACACCAGUGGCGAAGGCGGCUUUCUGGCCUGUAACUGACGCUGAGGCGCGAAAGCGUGGGGAGCAAACAGG
rnacentral:rRNA from 1 species